rnacentral:rRNA from 1 species
GACGAACGCUGGCGGCGUGCCUAAUACAUGCAAGUCGAACGCACUCUCGUUUAGAUUGAAGGAGUUUGCUCCUGAUUGAUAAACAUUUGAGUGAGUGGCGGACGGGUGAGUAACACGUGGGUAACCUGCCCUAAAGUGGGGGAUAACAUUUGGAAACAGAUGCUAAUACCGCAUAAAACCUAACACCGCAUGAUGUAGGGUUGAAAGAUGGUUUCGGCUAUCACUUUAGGAUGGACCCGCGGUGCAUUAGUUAGUUGGUGAGGUAAAGGCUCACCAAGACCGUGAUGCAUAGCCGACCUGAGAGGGUAAUCGGCCACACUGGGACUGAGACACGGCCCAGACUCCUACGGGAGGCAGCAGUAGGGAAUCUUCCACAAUGGACGAAAGUCUGAUGGAGCAACGCCGCGUGAGUGAAGAAGGUUUUCGGAUCGUAAAACUCUGUUGUUGGAGAAGAAUGUAUCUGAUAGUAACUGAUCAGGUAGUGACGGUAUCCAACCAGAAAGCCACGGCUAACUACGUG